rnacentral:rRNA from 1 species
UGGGCGUAUAGUCAUUGGGGGUAGACCCGAAGCCAGGUGAUCUACCUAUGGUCAGGAUGAAGCUGCAGUAACAUGCAGUGGAGGUCCGAACACACUGCCGUUGAAAAGGUAGGUGAUGAACUGUGGGUAGGGGUGAAAGGCUAAUCAAACCUGGAGAUAGCUGGUUCUCUCCGAAAUAUAUUUAGGUAUAGCCUCGUGUAUAUGUUGCGGGGGUAAAGCACUGAUUGGGCUAGGGGGCCUACCAGCCUACCAAACCCAGCUAGCCUCUGAAUACCGCAAUAGUUGAGCACGGGAGUCAGCCUGUGGGUGACAAGGCCCAUGGACAAAAGGGAAAGAACCCGGACCACCAGCUAAGGUCCCAAAGUCAAUGCUAAGUGUUUAAGGUUGUGAGACCGCACAGACAACCAGGAGGUUGGCUUAGAAGCAGCCACCCUUUAAAGAAAGCGUAAUAGCUCACUGGUCAAGCGGUCUUGUGCCAAAGAUUCAACGGGGC